GAUUAACGCUGGCGGCAUGCCUAAUACAUGCAAGUCGAACGGAAGCAGCAAUGCUUUAGUGGCGAACGGGUGAGUAACACGUAGGGAACCUACCUAUACGACGAGGAUAACUACUGGAAACGGUAGCUAAAACUGGAUAGGAUCAAUUGAGGCAUCUUGAUUGAUUUAAAGAUCCUUCGGGAUUACGUAGAGAUGGCCCUGCGGCGCAUUAGCUAGUUGGUGAGGUAACGGCCCACCAAGGCGACGAUGCGUAGCUGAGCUGAGAGGCUAAACAGCCACACUGGGACUGAGACACGGCCCAGACUCCUACGGGGGGCAGCAGUAGGGAAUUUUCGGCAAUGGGGGAAACCCUGACCGAGCAAUGCCGCGUGAACGAUGAAGGUCUUCGGAUUGUAAAGUUCUGUGAUUGGGGAAGAAUGGUAUUCUUAGGGAAUGAGGAGUACAUGACGGUACCCGAUUAGAAAGCCCCGGCUAACUAUGUGCCAGCAGCCGCGGUAAUUC
rnacentral:rRNA from 1 species